rnacentral:rRNA from 1 species
AGAUGGCGACCGGCGCACGGGUGAGUAACACGUAUCCAACCUGCCCUUUACUCGGGGAUAGCCUUUCGAAAGAAAGAUUAAUACCCGAUAGCAUAAUGAUUCCGCAUGGUUCAUUAUUAAAGGAUUCCGGUAAAGGAUGGGGAUGCGUUCCAUUAGGUUGUUGGUGAGGUAACGGCUCACCAAGCCUUCGAUGGAUAGGGGUUCUGAGAGGAAGGUCCCCCACAUUGGAACUGAGACACGGUCCAAACUCCUACGGGAGGCAGCAUG